GCCUGGCAUAGUUUUGCAUGCCUGUAGUCCCAGUUACUUGUGAGAAACUGAUGCAGGAGGAUCACUUGAGCCCAAGAGUUCUGGGCUAUAGUGUACUAUGCGGAUUGGGUAUCCACACUAAGUUUGACAUCAAUAUGGUGACAUCCUAAGAGCAGGGGACCACCAGGUUGCCUAAAGAGGGUUGAACCAGCUCAGAUCAGAAACUAGUAGGUCAAAACUCCCAUCCUUAUCAGUAGGGAUGGCGUCUGUGAAUAACCACUGCUCUUCAGCCUCUGCAACAUAUCAAGACCUCAUUU
rnacentral:SRP_RNA from 1 species